UCCCUAGUGGCUCAGAUUAAAGCGACUGCCUAUAAUGCGGGAGACCUGGGUUCGAUCCCUGGGUAGGGAA
rnacentral:tRNA from 1 species